UAGGUUGAAGUUCAUAGUUUGAGCGUCUGGCCGUUAACCAGGAAGAGGUGGGAUAAAAACCUGUCAACCUAG
rnacentral:tRNA from 1 species